rnacentral:lncRNA from 1 species
CCCGGCGCUCGCCAGCCAACAUGGACGCUUGUUACGUCGUGGUCGAGGACUCGUUAGAAACGACCAUGUUCAACGGCGAUUUGCGACACCAAGACGUGUAGUCGUUGUCUUAUUCUGAUUGGCUAACCUGUGGUUGCGUGAAGUCGGACAAUAUGCCACCAGAAGUUUGCGCAAGGUGUCGUUAACUUCACUACUUCGAGUCACCAUUGCGUCGGAUCUUUUCCGCCAACUGACCAGCGAACAAGUUUUGUGGAUUUCACUAUCAGGUAGCAAACAGAAGUGCUCUGACGAACUCUGCAGUGCUGGUCACACGGUGAGCCAAGCAUCCCUUAAGAGGUGUUUAUUCAGCAUCUGUGGCUAACUGAAAGGAAGCACCUCCCAAAAGCAGUGCUACGAGGAUGUGAGCCACAAGUUUUUUUCAACAAAUGAAUCAGAUGCCUGAGAGCCAUGGCCCGGCUGCUUCUGGCCUACACAGACAAUGCAGCCACCACAGUAAAGUUCUUGCAAAGGCAUUCUACAAAAACUGGCCCAAAGGCAGAUGGAAGACAGCACUGAUGGACACACAGAAGCCAUCGGGCGGCCUCAGGAACUGUGACUGAGCAUUCACCUACAUAUACAAUGGAGCCAAGUGGAGCUGUUCAUGGGCCACGCACACAGUUUCAUAAGCGGGCUUUCAGCACUUUUGACAAUUAUGUUUUUGAAUACAUCUGCCAAAGUUGUGUUCAAAAAA